rnacentral:rRNA from 1 species
AUUGAACGCUGGCGGCAGGCCUAACACAUGCAAGUCGAGCGAGCGGCGGACGGGUGAGUAAUGUAUGGGGACUGCCCGAUAGAGGGGGAUAACUACUGGAAACGGUGACUAAUACCGCAUACUAUCGGAUAACCAAUAUGGGAUUAGCUAGUAGGUGGGGUAAAGGCUCACCUAGGCGACGAUCUCUAGCUGGCCUGAGAGGAUGAUAAGCAACAGUGGGAUGAUGACACGGCCAAAACUCCUACGGAGGCAGCAGUGGGGAAUAUUGCAAAAUGGGGGCAAGCCUGAUGCAGCCAUGCCGCUUGUAUGAAGAAGGCCUUAGGGUUGUAAAGUACUUUCAGCGGGGAGACGUUACCCGCAGAGGAAGCACCGGCUAACUCCGUGCCAGCAGCCGCGGUAAUAC